ACUUACUUUGCUGCUCUUCCAUAUAAAUAUGGGGUGUAGAAGUGGUGUAUUUAUUUUUCCUGUUAUUGAUACUGUUGGAUAGACACUGGGAUUUUACAUUCCCGUACGCAUUCUCUGCGCCCCGCCUCUCCUGUCAAUGUCACUUGAUAGCCUAGGACUUUUAGAGCGCCUUUACGCAUUGCUAAAAUACAGCAAAUAGCUUUCCCAUCAGUGUUUUGAAUAGACUACAAAUAUGUAAUCCGAUCUGAUCAAAUGGGAUAGAUUGUAGUUUAUUUCAUAUAUCAAGAGCGUCCAUUUUGGAAAUGGAGGACUCCGGUUAUUGGCAUCACUGAGGAUACUGGGUGGGGGGUGCGGUUGUAAGUCAGAUGUUUUUAUGAGGGACGGAGUUGUUCCAAAUGCUUGCUUUUCUGUUAAUGCCACAUAAGAAGUGUUGAUGGUUUCCAAGUCUCCCCUCCCACCCCCUAAAAAACACACUAUGCUUUGGGAAGGCUAGAGGGAAAAACGGGUCAAUCGACAGCUUUUAAUGGUGGACUCCAAUCAAGUUGUAGAAACAUCUCAAGGAUGCUCAAUGGAAACAGGAUGCACAUGAGCUCAAUUGAGAGGCUCAUUGCAAAGGGUCUGAAUACUGAUGUAAACAAGGUCUAUGAUUUUUAAAUUCUCU